GCCCGGCCGGAGUGAUAAAACGGCGUGUGAGGCGAACCGGAUUGAAUGCCGGGCCGCAGAGGGUGAUGGCCCCGUAGCCGAACGCGCGUCGUCUCCGGAUCGUGUUUCCCAAGUAGCGCGGGACUCGUGGAAUCCCGUGUGAAUCCGCCCCGACCGUGGGGUAAGCCUAGAUAUACCUGUCUGACCGAUAGCGAACUAGUACCGUGAGGGAAAGGUGAAAAGCACCCCGGGAGGGGAGUGAAACAGUCUCUGAAACCGUGCGCUUACAAACCGUCGGAGCCUUUCGGGGUGACGGCGUGCCUAUCGAAAAAUGAGUCUGCGAGUCAGUGGCACGUGGCGAGCGUAACCCGUGUGGGGUACGCGUAGCGAAGGCGAGUCUCAAAAGGCGUUUGAGUCGCGUGUCCUGGACCCGAAGCGGGAUGAUCUAGCCCUGAGCAGGUUGAAGCGCGGGUAAGACCGCGUGGAGGACCGAACCCACCUGGGUUGAAAACCGGGGGGAUGACUUGGGGUUAGGGGUGAAAGGCCAAUCAAAUUCCGUGAUAGCUGGUUCUCUCCGAAAUGCAUUUAGGUGCAGCGUCGGGGAUUACGUCCGGGGGGUAGAGCUACUGGAUGCUUGAGGGCCCGUAUCGGGUACCGACAGCAGCCAAACUCCGAAUACCCGUGACGCGUAUCCCGGCAGUGAGUCGGCGGGGGAUAAGCUCCGUCGUCGAAAGGGAGACAGCCCAGAUCGUCGUCUAAGGUCCCCAAGCGCGUGCUAAGUGGGAAAGGAUGUGGAGUCGCAUAGACAGCCAGGAGGUUGGCUCAGAAGCAGCCACCCUUGAAAGAGUGCGUAACAGCUCACUGGUCUAGUGGUUCCGCGCCGACAAUGUAGCGGGGCUCAAGCACACCACCGAAGACGCGGCAGUAUUUUGUACUGGGUAGGAGAGCGUCCCAUGAGGGGCGAAGCGGCCGUGUGAACGCGCCGUGGACUUCAUGGGAGUGAGAAUGCAGACAUGAGUAGCGAGAGACGGGUGAGGAUCCCGUCCGCUGGAUGACCAAGGGUUCCGGGGCCACGUUCGUCGUCCCCGGGUGAGUCGGGUCCUAAGGCGAGGCCGACAGGCGUAGUCGAAUGGAUGAACGGGCUGAUAUUCCCGUACCGGCAGCGAACCGCAAGAGCCGAACGGAUGAGUACUAACCUCCGGUCGCGUGGCGUCGUUCCCUUCGGGGUUCGGGGCGUGCGAUUGUUGGGAAUGUAGUCCUGGUAGGUUAGCGCACAGGGGUGACACGGAAUGGGAGCCGGCCGCGGAGGUGGUUUUCCGUGGUCAAGCGUUCGAGCCCGUCCCGCAGGCAAAUCCGCGGGGCGUCGGGGCGAGGCGUGAUGAUGGGGGCCUUACGGCCCGAAUCCGGUGAUCCGUGGUGCCGAGAAAAGCUUCGGCGUCAGGCGCGUUGCCGCCCGUACCCCAAACCGACACUGGUGGUCAGGUAGAGAAUACCAAAGCGAUCGAGCGAAUCCUGGUCAAGGAACUCGGCAAAUCACUCCCGUUCCUUCGGUUUAAGGGAGACCCCCGAUGGUGAACACACUUGCUGUGGGAGCUUUUGGGGGUGGCACAGACCAGGGGGUAGCGACUGUUUACCAAAAACACAGGUGCAUGCGAAGGCGCAAGCCGCUGUAUAUGCACUGACGCCUGCCCGGUGCCGGAAGGUUAAGAGGAUCCGUCAGCCUUCGGGUGAAGCGGUGAAUUCAAGCCCCGGUAAACGGCGGUGGUAACUAUAACCAUCCUAAGGUAGCGAAAUUCCUUGUCGGGUAAGUUCCGACCUGCACGAAUGGCGUAAUGAUGGCCAGGCUGUCUCCACCCGAGACUCAGUGAAAUUGAACUCGCUGUGAAGAUGCAGUGUACCCGCGGCAAGACGGAAAGACCCCGUGAACCUUUACUAUAGCUUGACACUGAACAUUGAGCCUUGAUGUGUAGGAUAGGUGGGAGGCUUUGAAGUGUGGACGCCAGUCUGCAUGGAGCCGACCUUGAAAUACCACCCUUUAAUGUUUGAUGUUCUAACGUUGGCCCGUAAUCCGGGUUGCGGACAGUGUCUGGUGGGUAGUUUGACUGGGGCGGUCUCCUCCUAAAGAGUAACGGAGGAGCACGAAGGUUGGCUAAUCCUGGUCGGACAUCAGGAGGUUAGUGCAAUGGCAUAAGCCAGCUUGACUGCGAGCGUGACGGCGCGAGCAGGUGCGAAAGCAGGUCAUAGUGAUCCGGUGGUUCUGAAUGGAAGGGCCAUCGCUCAACGGAUAAAAGGUACUCCGGGGAUAACAGGCUGAUACCGCCCAAGAGUUCAUAUCGACGGCGGUGUUUGGCACCUCGAUGUCGGCUCAUCACAUCCUGGGGCUGAAGUAGGUCCCAAGGGUAUGGCUGUUCGCCAUUUAAAGUGGUACGCGAGCUGGGUUUAGAACGUCGUGAGACAGUUCGGUCCCUAUCUGCCGUGGGCGCUGGAGAACUGAGGGGGGCUGCUCCUAGUACGAGAGGACCGGAGUGGACGCAUCACUGGUGUUCGGGUUGUCAUGCCAAUGGCACUGCCCGGUAGCUAAAUGCGGAAGAGAUAAGUGCUGAAAGCAUCUAAGCACGAAACUUGCCCCGAGAUGAGUUCUCCCUGACUCCUUGA
rnacentral:rRNA from 1 species